rnacentral:rRNA from 1 species
GCAGUAGCCGCGGGAAUACGAAGGGUGCAAGCGUUACUCGGAAUUACUGGGCGUAAAGCGUGCGUAGGUGGUGGUUUAAGUCCGUUGUGAAAGCCCUGGGCUCAACCUGGGAAUUGCAGUGGAUACUGGGUCACUAGAGUGUGGUAGAGGAUAGUGGAAUUUCCGGUGUAGCAGUGAAAUGCGUAGAGAUCGGAAGGAACAUCUGUGGCGAAGGCGACUAUCUGGGCCAACACUGACACUGAGGCACGAAAGCGUGGGGAGCAAACAGGAUUAGAUACCCGGGUAGUCCCUGUCUCUUAUAC